UCCCUCUUUCCUGUCAUACCUGUGCUCCUUGUCUCAGAGACUCCGCUGAAUGAACAGAAGGUUAAAACAAACAACAAGAAGCUGCCACCCCUCCUCACCUCCCGUCCUCUUUCCUGAUCCUCUCCUCAUCCUGUCAUCUUCUCUCUUUCUCUCUCUCUCUCUCUCUCUCUCUCUCUCUCUGUGUGUGUGUACCUGAGAGUCAUACCUCUCUCCACCCUGCAUCCAGUCAGAACCAAGGCCAGGACAUACACACAAAGGUGAUGACAAGUAGUCAUAGGGUCAUCCCGGCACAGCCCAGCCCCUCACACCUGUUAAUCAACCCCAAUGCCUCAGCAACCCCAGAACCUGGGCCCGGAGGCCACACCUCCACAAAGUUUAUGAGCGAGUUGCACUCCCUCCACAUGCCCUCGUGGGCUAUAGGAGCUCUAUGCGUGGUGAGUGUGUGUCUGGUGUUGUCAUGCUGUUUGUGUGUCUGGAGGAAAUGUCUGAAGAAGAAAGACACAGAGAAGGAGAAGAAGGGCAAGAACGGCUUGAACAUGGACACUGAGCUGGAGGGAGGCAAC